UCUUAGAUGCAUAACAGAUUUUUGACUGAAGAGAAGGAGUGCUAGAGGCAGAGGAGGGACCUUUCUUCUCCAGGAAGAACUCUCUGAGGCCUUGGACUUGAGCAGUAUGAUUUGGGCCUGGUAGCAAUGUGCACAAGGGAAGCGGGAACCCUCUCCUCACUGAUGUAUGGACCAAGGCAAAAUUACUCAGAAACCUGAAGACUGGAAAAAAACUUGAGUUCUUACUCAGGAGAGCUCAGCCUUCUGCAAGCAAAGGUGGUCACGGGACCUUAGUCUGGACACAGGAAGCACAAGGAAUACACUGGCUUCUCAACCCCCCUCCCUGCUAUCUUCUGUAAUUUCUCCUUAGGGCUUCAUUUUGCUGGGGUGGGUGCCAGGGCCACGGGACAACUGGUAAAGUUGAUGUGGAUUGAUGUUUACACAUAUCAGGAAAGGGAAGAAGAACUAUCCCCAAAAUAAUCCUCUCCCACUCCUUUCCACCUCAUGCACUAACUGUUAUGAAACAACACUAGAUCCU
rnacentral:lncRNA from 1 species